GGAGCAAACAGGAUUAGAUACCCUGGUAGUCCACGCCCUAAACGAUGUACUUAGUUGUUGCUAUGCUAGACAUAGCAGUAAUGCAGUUAACACAUUAAAUGUACCGCCUGGGGAGUACGGUCGCAAGAUUAAAACUCAAAGGAAUAGACGGGGACCCGCACAAGCGGUGGAGCAUGUGGUUUAAUUCGACUAUACGCGAAGAACCUUACCUGGCCUUGACAUAGAAAGAAUUUAGCAGAGAUGUAAAAGUGCUAGUUUACUAGAGCUUUCAUACAGGUGCUGCACGGCUGUCGUCAGCUCGUGUCGUGAGAUGUUGGGUUAAGUCCCGCAACGAGCGCAACCCUCGUGUUUAGUUGCUAACAGGUUAAGCUGAGGACUCUAGACAGACUGCCUGGGUAACCAGGAGGAAGGUGAGGACGACGUCAAGUCAUCAUGGCCCUUACGGCCAGGGCUACACACGUGCUACAAUGGGAUAUACAAAGAGCAGCGAUACCGCGAGGUGGAGCAAAUCUCAUAAAAUAUCUCCCAGUUCGGAUUACACUCUGCAACUCGAGUGUAUGAAGUUGGAAUCGCUAGUAAUCGUAGAUCA
rnacentral:rRNA from 1 species